ACCAAGCCCAACAAUAUGGGCGGCGGCACAGGGAGCUGCCGCCCGGGUAGCCUCACAGGGGCGCCGCCUGCCGGCACAAGAAGGUCAUCGCAACGAAGGAUUGGGGAACAACAGAAUGCUUCAAUGUAACGAAUAUGGUUUCAUCCCCAGGAAUGACACCAAGGAAGCUGUAUUUGCACACCAGACUGCCAUAAAGAAGACUCCCAGGAAGUCCCUUGGCAGUGGAGGAGGUGGACAGACUGCGGAGUCAGAUGUUGAAGGAGAGGAGGGGGCGGACGCAGCAAAUGUCAGGGGCAGAUGUGCCGCCGCAGUGCAGACGCCCAGAAAACCCCAAACCGCGAGACGGCAAAGAGGCCAAGGCAGCCGAUCCACCGGCCGAGAGUCCGUCCACUCCCGACGUCGAGCAGGGCGACGCGAGGUAAGUGUCCGCUUACCGGCUCUGCCAUCAUCCGGUUUCGUCGUCCAGCGGGAGGUGAGGAAGAAGUUCCGGCAAUAA
ensembl:lncRNA